CGCUGGCGGCAGGCCUAACACAUGCAAGUCGAGCGGUAGAGAGAAGCUUGCUUCUCUUGAGAGCGGCGGACGGGUGAGUAAUGCCUAGGAAUCUGCCUGGUAGUGGGGGAUAACGUUCGGAAACGGACGCUAAUACCGCAUACGUCCUACGGGAGAAAGCAGGGGACCUUCGGGCCUUGCGCUAUCAGAUGAGCCUAGGUCGGAUUAGCUAGUUGGUGAGGUAAUGGCUCACCAAGGCGACGAUCCGUAACUGGUCUGAGAGGAUGAUCAGUCACACUGGAACUGAGACACGGUCCAGACUCCUACGGGAGGCAGCAGUGGGGAAUAUUGGACAAUGGGCGAAAGCCUGAUCCAGCCAUGCCGCGUGUGUGAAGAAGGUCUUCGGAUUGUAAAGCACUUUAAGUUGGGAGGAAGGGUUGUAGAUUAAUACUCUGCAAUUUUGACGUUACCGACAGAAUAAGCACCGGCUAACUCUGUGCCAGCAGCCGCGGUAAUACAGAGGGUGCAAGCGUUAAUCGGAAUUACUGGGCGUAAAGCGCGCGUAGGUGGUUUGUUAAGUUGGAUGUGAAAUCCCCGGGCUCAACCUGGGAACUGCAUUCAAAACUGACUGACUAGAGUAUGGUAGAGGGUGGUGGAAUUUCCUGUGUAGCGGUGAAAUGCGUAGAUAUAGGAAGGAACACCAGUGGCGAAGGCGACCACCUGGACUAAUACUGACACUGAGGUGCGAAAGC
rnacentral:rRNA from 1 species